AACGAACGCUGGCGGCAUGCCUAACACAUGCAAGUCGAACGAGACCUUCGGGUCUAGUGGCGCACGGGUGCGUAACGCGUGGGAACCUGCCUUUAGGUUCGGAAUAACUCAGAGAAAUUUGAGCUAAUACCGGAUGAUGUCUUCGGACCAAAGAUUUAUCGCCUUUAGAUGGGCCCGCGUUGGAUUAGCUAGUUGGUGGGGUAAAGGCCUACCAAGGCGACGAUCCAUAGCUGGUCUGAGAGGAUGAUCAGCCACACUGGGACUGAGACACGGCCCAGACUCCUACGGGAGGCAGCAGUGGGGAAUAUUGGACAAUGGGCGAAAGCCUGAUCCAGCAAUGCCGCGUGAGUGAUGAAGGCCUUAGGGUUGUAAAGCUCUUUUACCCGAGAUGAUAAUGACAGUAUCGGGUGAAUAAGCUCCGGCUAACUCCGUG
rnacentral:rRNA from 1 species